AGAGUUUGAUCCUGGCUCAGGAUGAACGCUGGCGGCGUGCUUAACACAUGCAAGUCGAACGGAGGACCCUUGACGGAGUUUUCGGACAACAGAUAGGAAUCCUUAGUGGCGGACGGGUGAGUAACGCGUGAGGAACCUGCCUUGGAGAGGGGAAUAACACAGUGAAAAUUGUGCUAAUACCGCAUGAUGCAGUUGGGUCGCAUGGCUCUGACUGCCAAAGAUUUAUCGCUCUGAGAUGGCCUCGCGUCUGAUUAGGUAGUUGGUGGGGUAACGGCUCACCAAGCCGACGAUCAGUAGCCGGACUGAGAGGUUGACCGGCCACAUUGGGACUGAGACACGGCCCAGACUCCCACGGGAGGCAGCAGUGGGGAAUAUUGGGCAAUGGGCGCAAGACUGACCCAGCAACGCCGCGUGGAGGAAGAAGGUUUUCGGAUCGUAAACUCCUGUCCUUGGAGACGAGUAGAAGACGGUAUCCAAGGAGGAAGCCCCGGCUAACUACGUGCCAGCAGCCGCGGUAAUACGUAGGGGGCAAGCGUUGUCCGGAAUAAUUGGGCGUAAAGGGCGCGUAGGCGGCUCGGUAAGUCUGGAGUGAAAGUCCUGCUUUUAAGGUGGGAAUUGCUUUGGAUACUGUCGGGCUUGAGUGCAGGAGAGGUUAGUGGAAUUCCCAGUGUAGCGGUGAAAUGCGUAGAGAUUGGGAGGAACACCAGUGGCGAAGGCGACUAACUGGACUGUAACUGACGCUGAGGCGCGAAAGUGUGGGGAGCAAACAGGAUUAGAUACCCUGGUAGUCCACACUGUAAACGAUGAAUGCUAGGUGUAGGGGGUAUCGACCCCUUCUGUGCCGCAGUCAACACAAUAAGCAUUCCGCCUGGGGAGUACGGCCGCAAGGUUGAAACUCAAAGGAAUUGACGGGGGCCCGCACAAGCAGCGGAGCAUGUGGUUUAAUUCGACGCAACGCGAAGAACCUUACCAGGUCUUGACAUCCACUUAAACUUACAGAGAUGUAAGGUGUGCUUGCACAAAGUGAGACAGGUGGUGCAUGGUUGUCGUCAGCUCGUGUCGUGAGAUGUUGGGUUAAGUCCCGCAACGAGCGCAACCCUUAUCUUCAGUUACUAACGCGUAAAGGUGAGGACUCUGAAGAGACUGCCGGGGACAACUCGGAGGAAGGUGGGGACGACGUCAAAUCAUCAUGCCCCUUAUGACCUAGGCUACACACGUGCUACAAUGGCCACGACAGAGAGAAGCGAAAUCGCAAGGUAGAGCGGAACUCAGAAAAGUGGUCCCAGUUCGGAUUGUGAGCUGCAACCCGCCCACAUGAAGUCGGAGUUGCUAGUAAUCGCGGAUCAGCAUGCCGCGGUGAAUACGUUCCCGGGCCUUGUACACACCGCCCGUCACACCAUGGGAGUUGGGAGUGCCCAAAGCCGGUGAGGCAACCGCAAGGAGCCAGCCGUCUAAGGCAAGACCAAUGACUGGGGUGAAGUCGUAACAAGGUA
rnacentral:rRNA from 1 species